rfam:Epulopiscium sp. AS2M-Bin001 AS2M_MBin01_107, whole genome shotgun sequence.
AAGAACUAAUAUCUCAAGAAGUGGAAUGAAAGGGUAACGCCUUGAAACGCUUCCAGUAAUACUCCGAAUGGCGUUAAUGUAGGUAAAAGAAUUAAGGUCAUAAGCUCGGUGAAGACUGCAGAAAGUUACCGUAAAAAAAAUUGAUAUUUUAUGUAUAUCAAAGAAAAACGAAACUGCUUUGGAGGCAAGGCAUGUAACUGAUAUGUCGGCUGUCUAUAAA